rnacentral:rRNA from 1 species
GAUGAACGCUGGCGGCGUGCCUAAUACAUGCAAGUCGAGCGAACAGAUGAGGAGCUUGCUCCUCUGACGUUAGCGGCGGACGGGUGAGUAACACGUGGAUAACCUACCUAUAAGACUGGGAUAACUUCGGGAAACCGGAGCUAAUACCGGAUAAUAUAUUGAACCGCAUGGUUCAAUAGUGAAAGACGGUUUUGCUGUCACUUAUAGAUGGAUCCGCGCCGCAUUAGCUAGUUGGUAAGGUAAGGGCUUACCAAGGCAACGAUGCGUAGCCGACCUGAGAGGGUGAUCGGCCACACUGGAACUGGGACACGGUCCAGACUCCUACGGGAGGCAGCAGUAGGGAAUCUUCCGCAAUGGGCGAAAGCCUGACGGAGCAACGCCGCGUGAGUGAUGAAGGUCUUCGGAUCGUAAAACUCUGUUAUUAGGGAAGAACAAAUGUGUAAGUAACUAUGCACGUCUUGACGGUACCUAAUCAGAAAGCCACGGCUAACUACGUG